rnacentral:lncRNA from 10 species
CAGGCACCCACAUCCUAAUCCCCAGAACCUGUGAAUAUGUUAUGUUACAUGGCAACAGGGAAUUCAGGUGGCAGGUGGAAAUAUGUUUGCGAACCAGUCGAUCGUGAGAUAGGGGCAUUAUCCUGCGUUAUCAGGGUGGGUCCAGGGUGAUCACAGGAAGAAGGAGGCAGAGGACAGAGUCAGAAAAUGUAUGAUGACAGAAGCAGUGAUUUUAUGUGAGAAAGACUCAACUUGCCAUGCUGGCUUUGAAGAAUGAGGAAGGAGCCACGAGCCAAGGAAUGCCGGCAAAUUCUAGAACUGGAAAAGGUAAGAAAAUUGUGAGAGGAGGAAGAAAGGAAGCAAGAGGGAAUGAAUAACACUGGAAAUGCUACUAGGAUAAGUAUUUCUUCAGGCAUGGGCUUCAGAAAUCUAGGGAUCAAAAUCAUGCAAAGACAUCAUCUGGGCUUGUUCCAGGGAGGCAGGAUUCCAUUCCUCACUAUCAACAUAAUUCAUGGUUUCUGUUGGCUCUUGCCCAUGGAGGAGAGGAUCAGGCCCAAGCUUUGAGUACAUAUAGAGGCUGACAAUGCUCCGACAGGGACAGAAUACUGGGUAGUAAUCAGAGCCCACCCCUAACUUUCAGGAGGCAGAAAUGGACAGCCUUGGGCCCCUGAAAGUGACAGGCAACAGGGCUGCCUGGUGCUGAGCACUUUUAAAAAUAAGAAGUGGCUCAAUUAAUCGAUAAAAAAUGGUACACAUAAGCCAUGAAAACAGGGACCCACAAGCCAAAGACUGGACCAUCUACAUGAGCUGCUUAAACUUGUAAUGGGGCUGAGAAGGUCAUUCCCCCAAAAUGUGGUGGUUUGAGAUGUUAAACUGAAGAAGAAACAUCAAGGUCUCUCUCACCUCCCCACUUCUUGCCUCUCAAUCCUUUCUCUCUCCUAAAGUGCAGCAUAAAGUUGUUCCCUGAAGUUCCCUCAUCUGCCUAAAGUCCAGACCCAUCAAAGAUGAAAACAAUGAUCCCUGGUUCCUUCCCUGGGUUUUCAUUAACUAAACUCCUCUUACAGGAAGAAAGAUUAAAGUCUGUUAACACACCCAGACAAACUUUUGUCACAAACCGUCGUCUGCUCAAUGGGCCCAACAGAUCAUUGUCCCAGAUCAUUGUAUGUUUUUUAAGCCCAUUGAAUUGCCCUAAACAUUAUUUACUACUGUGCUGAAAUAAUCCACAAUUUCCCAUUUCCAUUUUCUCUAAGGAGAAGUGUAUAGAAGCAUCUGUACCCCAUUGUGUGAUGAGGUAAUCACUGUGGUUCAC